GGAAGGGCAAUAAAGCAUAAAAACAUAAGCUUAAAAGUUUUAGAAGAACUAAAUUAUAGUUUAACUUCAUGUAUGUUGAAGAAUGAGCCGGCGACUUAUAGGCAGUGGCAGGUUAAAAUAGAGAAUAUUAAAGCCAUAGUGAAAGCGAGCCUUAAUAGGGCAUUAGUCACUGUUUAUAGACCCGAACCCAGAUGAUCUAGCCAUGACCAGGGUGAAGCUUAGAUAACACUAAGUGGAGGUCCGAAUCGACUGAUGUUGAAAAAUCAGCGGAUGAGUUGUAGUUAGUGAUGAAAUGCCAAUCGAAUCCGCAGCUAGCUGUGGUUCUUCCCGAAAAUGCCUUUUAGCGCAGCAGUUAAUACUUAAUCUUGGGAGUAAAGCACUUUCUCGAUGCGGGCUGUAAGAGCGGUACCAAAUCAAGGCAAACUCUGAAUACCACGUGUGUAGUUAGCCAGUGAGACAGUGGGGGAUAAGCUUCAUUGUUAAAAGGGAAACAGCCCAGAUGACCAGCUAAGGCCCCAAAAUAUUUGCUAAGUGAUAAAGGAAGUAGUAAUGCAUAGACAAACAGGAGGUUUGCUUAGAAGCAGCAAUCUUUUAAAGAGUGCGUAAUAGCUCACUGGUCUAGUGAUCCUGUGCCGAAAAUGAAUAGAACUAAGCAAUUUGCCGAUGCUGUGAGAUGUUUUUAUAUAUCGGUAGGGGAGCGUUCUGCAUUAGAUUGAAGCAUUAGUGUAAACAGAUGUGGACAAAAGAGAAGUAAGAAUGUCGGCUUGAGUAGCGAAAACAUUGGUGAUAAUUCAAUGCCCUGAAAACCUAAGUUUUACUUUGGAAGAUUCGUCCGCAAAGGGUGAGUCACGUAAGACAAUGUAUGGGGGCUAACGCCUUCCCAGUGCUGGAAGGUUAAAAAAAUAAGUUAGCACUAGCAAAGCUUAUAACUAAAGCCCCAGUGAACGGCGGCCGUAACUAUAACAGUCCUAAGGUAACGAAAUUCCUUGUCGGAUAAGUUCCGACCCGCACGAAAGGCGUAACGAUUUGGGUAUUGUCUCAGAGAGAAGCUUGGCAAAAUAGAAUUGUCUGUGCAGAUGUGGACUACCUGCACCUGGACAGAAAGACCCUAUGAAGCUUUAAUGUAGCUUGGAAUUGAAUUUAGGUUUAUUGUGCACAGAAUAGGUGGGAGGCUAAGACAAUAAACUUGCAGGUUUGUUUGAGCCAUUAGCAAGAUGCUAAUCUCAGUAAACUAGAAUUCUAACUUUGAUGUUUAUCAACUAUCCAAAGAACAGUUUCAGGUAGUCAGGUUGACUAGUUCUGUUGCCUCCUAAAAAGUAACGGAGGCGUAUAAAGGUUUCCUUAGACUGUUUGUAUUGUAAAUCAGUAUUAGAGUGUAAAGGCAGAAGGAAACUUGACUACAAUACAUACAAGUUAAUGAUAGAAGAAAAUUAACAUUAGUGAUCCAAUCCAAUAAUACUAAGUGCAAAGUAUGUCAAUGAAUAGAUAAGAGUUACUCUAGGGAUAUAAAAGACUAAUCUAACCAAAGAUUUUACAUAAACGGGGAGGUUUGGCACCUAAUGUCUUCCAAUCACAUCUUCGGGCGGGUAGGGUAGUACAUACUAAUUAUUGUGUUAGGCUGUUCGCUUAUUAAAGCAGCACACGAGCUAGAUUCAGAACGUCACGCCGUGAGAUAGUUUGUUCCUAUCUGAUAUAGAGAUUAGAAUAUUAAUAAUAACUCUACUUAGCUACUUAGUAAUAUAUAAGAAACAAACUGAUAGUAUACUAGUUAUUGUAGUAACAUUAACCGCUAGGUAGAUAAAAUCAAGAUGAGCGCUCUUAUUACUAUUGCAUUAAGAUCACGGUAAGAUUAAUAUUUUAUAGUCACUGGGCUUAAUUAUAACAAUAUUAAGAUAUACUAACAGAUCGAUGGCUUUAGUUA
rnacentral:rRNA from 1 species